AAUCCUAAAAUGUAAAUGGAGCAAAUAUCAACAUUAGAAUCUCUCGAUUAGGAUGUUCUUUAAGUAGGUGAGUGUUUUUCACCCCAUUGUUAUUGAUCCUUGAGUUAUAAUAUAUUCGUCCUAUAUAUUCUAUUUUCUAUUUUCUUUUUCCGAGUUUCCAUGAUUAAUCUCAAAUAAUUACAGUUAUAACCAAAAACAAAAAUUCAUUAAUAGGUUCAAUUAUUGGUAAAAAUAUCUAAUUA
rnacentral:lncRNA from 1 species